AGUCACUGACAUUAGAUACCCGGGUAGUCCCAGCCCUAAACGAUGCGCGUUAGGUGUAUCGGUGACCACGAGUCACCGAGGUGCCGAAGGGAAACCGUGAAACGUGCCGCCUGGGAAGUACGGUCGCAAGGCUGAAACUUAAAGGAAUUGGCGGGGAGCACAACAACGGGUGGAGCUUGCGGUUUAAUUGGAUUCAACGCCGGAAAUCUUACCGGGACCGACAGCAACAUGAAGGCCAAGCUGAAGACUUUGCCGGAUUAGCUG
rnacentral:rRNA from 1 species